UGGGGAAUAUUGCGCAAUGGGGGAAACCCUGACGCAGCAACGCCGCGUGAAGGAUGAAGGCCCUCGGGUUGUAAACUUCUGUUGGAUGGGAAAAAAAGCCGCAAGGUCUUGAUGGUACCAUUCGAGUAAGCACCGGCUAACUACGUGCCAGCAGCCGCGGUAAUACGUAGGGUGCCAGCGUUGUUCGGAAUCACUGGGCGUAAAGAGAGCGUAGGCGGGAUUGUAAGUUAGGAGUUUAAUGCAUGGGCUUAACCCAUGAUCUGCUUUUAAUACUGCAGUUCUUGAGUAUGGGAGAGGGUGAUGGAAUUCCAGGUGUAGCGGUGGAAUGCGUAGAUAUCUGGAAGAACACCAGUAGCGAAGGCGGUCGCCUGGCCCAAUACUGACGCUGAGGCUCGAAAGCUAGGGGAGCAAACAGG
rnacentral:rRNA from 2 species